CCUACGGGAGGCAGCAGUGAGGAAUAUUGGUCAAUGGACGAGAGUCUGAACCAGCCAAGUAGCGUGAAGGAUGACUGCCCUAUGGGUUGUAAACUUCUUUUAUAAGGGAAUAAAACGAGGCACGUGUGCCGUUUUGCAUGUACUUUAUGAAUAAGGAUCGGCUAAAUCCGUGCCAGCAGCCGCGGUAAUACGGAGGAUCCGAGCGUUAUCCGGAUUUAUUGGGUUUAAAGGGAGCGUAGAUGGGUUGUUAAGUCAGUUGUGAAAGUUUGCGGCUCAACCGUAAAAUUGCAAUUGAUACUGGCAGUCUUGAGUACAGUAGAGGUAAGCGGAAUUCGUGGUGUAGCGGUGAAAUGCUUAGAUAUCACGAAGAACCCCGAUUGCGAAGGCAGCUUACUAGACUGUGACUGACAUUGAUGCUCGAAAGUGUGGGUAUCAAACAGGAUUAGAUACCCGAGUAGUC
rnacentral:rRNA from 1 species